AAUAAAAUUUCAUGCAUAUAUGUGCUAAAUCGUAACAACCGAACGAAAAAAACAAACAAAAAAUUAAAUAGCGAGUUCGAGCUUCAUUUAUGGGACCACGACAUGAUUCAAAUUUAAUUCAUCUUUGGUUCUUUCGGUUAGCAAACGACGAACGCUGACGCUGGUGUGCCGAUGAUCAAUUGUGUUGCCAUUUUGCAUCAUUGGCUCAACAUUCGGCGCCUUUUUCGUUUGGAAGUUUUUGCACAGGAAAAUGCACUAUUUUGAAGAGAGAGAGAAAAAUUUGUUCAUCAAGUCAUAAUGGAAUUUGAUUUUUCUCUUUAUUUACCACAAGGGAAGCGAACACGAUUCCAAUUUUAGCUCCGGCCAAAACAUCCCACCAAUGAUGUCGGUGAUCGGUGAUUCGAGAAACUGAACAAAGGAAAGCAUACAACAAAAAUACACAUUGAAGAGUUGGUAUCAAUAAUUUGCUCCGGAUUUUUGGUGUACGCAUCUGAAGAUACCUAUAUGCAAACGAGAAUAAAAAAACAAUAAAAAAGAACCUACCAAAUUAAAAAGAUCGCUUCGUAAAAUGAUGUCGAUGAAUGACCGGACGGGAAUGAUUUUGAUGCAUCGCGAACAAACCACGAACUGUCAAUGUCAUUGGUGCAUUUGUAAUCAAUAACAUAUUGUCUAAAUAAGGAAAAGAGCGUACAUUAACUCAUAAUUUUUUUUUGUUCGAUUAAUGUGUAAUUUACCCUCCGGUGCAGGUUUGCAAAGCAUCAGGCCGGCAUGUAUCCAAGAAAUGUGGUCUUAGUUCACCGAAUAACACCUGUUCAUAGAAAGAAAAAUUGCGCAAACAAUUAAAAUGUGAUAAAAACAUUGUGACGUCGAAUCAUAAACCAAAUCAACUUCGUCGAGUCUCGUACUCACCUUGAUACCAUCGAUAACGAACAAAUGUAAGGUGAUGCCGUAUAAAAAUUCCUUGAACCAUCUCCAUGCCCGUCUUGCCGAUUCAAUGAAUCGUGACGACUUCAUUGAUACUGGUACAAAGUAGCAUGCCUCACAUAUCCAUAAAAUUGGAUAAAUUAAUAAAACGGUAAAUAGCAAUGCCCCCGUUGUAACUGUUUCUCCAUUAUAUUGCAUUGCAAUGGAACGAUCAUCACAGUAAAAACCGCGUUUCACAUGCGGAAAAAUGCCCAAUUCAAUCACGAGCAACCACAAAAUGACUGCAAUAAGAAUAGAAAGAUAAAAACAAAGAUGGUUAAAAAAAUCGAAGAAAAAAAAAUGAAACAAUCAAUAUUAACUGAUAAUAGAAGCAACCAUAAGAUGCAACGUCAAUGAAUUCAUCUUGUAAAUGAGAUUUUUCGUAAUCGUUUGUUUAACUAUUGGAAUGUAAUUUUGUAAUGUUGAAAAUAAAAUGCAAACAAAUGUUGUUGGCUCAUUCAUUGCAACGAA